GAUUAACGCUGGCGGCGUGCCUAACACAUGCAAGUCGAACGAAGUGGCGGAAGGGUGAGUAACGCGUGAGUAACCUGCCUUAGAGAAGGGGAUAGCCUUUGGAAACGAAGAAUAAUACCCUCUACUCUAAGAUGGAGUUGCGUGUGAUUAGUGAGUUGGUGAGGUAACGGCCCACCAAGACAGCGAUCAGUAGCCGGGUUGGAGGAGUGUACGGCCACACUGCGACUGGGACACGGCCCAGAUUCUACGGGAGGCAGCAGUGGGGAAUUAUGCACAAUGGGUGAAACCCUGAUGCAGCGACGCCGCGUGAUUUAGAAGGCCUUCGGGUUGUAAAAAUCUUUUCUAUGGGAAGCGGUACCAUAGGAAUAAGGACCGGCUAAUUACGUGCCAGCAGCCGCGGUAAUAC
rnacentral:rRNA from 1 species